CCUGGAGCCUGGGGUCAGGUGAUCGACCCUGGAGCCUGGGGUCAGGUGAUUGACCCUGGAGCCUGGGGUCAGGUGAUCCAGGGGAAGUAUCACAGUUUCCCGCUCACUGGCCGAGUCCAAGCCUGUGAGCUCCAUGGUUACUGCAGCGUAUAUACACAUAUACAUAUAUCUUUAAGGACGUAUAUGUACAUAUCAGUGUAUCCAUAUAGAACUUAUAGACCCCAUUACAUUUUUUAAUAUUUUGCCAAAUUAAAUAAACACUCGAAGAAGAUAUUACCGACAGUACCUUCACGACCUCAAAUGAGAAAAAAAAAACAAGCAGUGUAAGAGUUCAAAAGGUUAUUUGAUUUAUGUCUGGAAACUUCUGAAUAUUGUGUAAAGUUACUGUAAGUAGUGCACACCAGAAGGGUGAGAACACCAUGGGGAGACAACACAGUAGCUCUGGGGUUCCUCCUUGGUCCGUGGUGCUGGGAACAGCUUGGCUCCCUGGCUUGGACGGACGCCAUCUGACAGAUGUGAAGGCAUCCGAGGUUCCAAGGUCGGCCAGGUCCGGUGUUGCUAGGCUGAACAUAUUAUUCAGCUCUGAGAGUGUUUAUGUAGCGAGGACAUUGGAAAGUACAGAUUUCAGAAACUUACUGGAUCAGAGACAGGAGGCUGGAAUGGGAAGCUAUGUGAGCAAAUAAAGGAAACUUUGAUUGAAAAA